AUAUAAAACCACUAGAGGAAAAAUCGUCAUGUGCUUCCCAUCAAGUGCGGCUCAUUUAGUAAAUUGGCAGCACUUGAGAUCACUUAAUAAAAAAGAAAAAAUACAAUUUCACAAGUGCGGGCUCAUUUUAGAGAAUUGGCAGCACUUGAGAUCACAAAAAAAAAAAAAAAAACAAUUUCACAAGUGCGGGCUCAUUUUAGAAAAUUGGCAACACUUGAGUUCAUGUGCGGGCUCAUUUACAGAUGAGCAGCACAAAAGAUUUCCCAAAAGCUAAGGUUUCCAUUUUUUUUCGUUUCCCGCUUUCCUCCUUCCUCCUCCCCCUUCUCGUUCUCUGUUGCUGUUCACCCACGGCCGAACCGAACACACCCAACGACUUGUCGCGCCACCGCUGGUGUCCCCCCACCGACAAAGGCUUCCUCUUCCAACCGCGUCGACGCUGUUCUUCAAUCUGAAAAAAUGGAAGCAUCUAAACCCCCAAAUUUGCUGUUCUUCAAUCUGAAAAAAUGGAAGCAGCUAAACCAGUGUGUGGAAAAGAGGCAUUGGAUCUUCUUAAUUGCGUGGUUGAUUCUAAUUACGACCAGGAGAAAUGCCUUCAUCUUUUGCAAUCUCUUCGGCAAUGUGUCCUUUCUAAGGGAGCCUGAUCACUAUCACUUCCUAUUUACGUCUGCGCCCUGUAUUUUCUACCCAGGGCGUAACAACUGUUACUGGCUCAGGUGUGAAGAGAGUCCUCUGACUCUUAUGGCUACGUAUUCUGAUAUUGCCUUGGCGUAAUUAACCAAGACUAAUGUAUGUGUAAUUGCAGUACACUAUCUUAAUUCCUUUGGAAAUAAUCAUAAUGUUUUGAAAAUAAUGUCUGGAUUUGAUGAUAGUGCAGAACGCAUACUCUUAAGUUUGAGAAUUAUGUUGACAUGACCCAUUCUAAUCACGAACACAAUGAAGCAGCUCAUUGCAACUUCACUGCUAAGCCUGAAACAACACCUUUCAAGCCUAGGGAUUUUUCCAGCAAGCUAUUUUUCGCGGAACUAAUUCCAUGUUAUUUGAUUCUUUGAAUGACAGUUAUUUAUUUUGGGUAAGAAGUGUACGUUUGGGUUAUCUGUUGUGUGAAAUGUUCAGUGGUCUAAUUUAGAGAAAGUAAUUUGACGUUUGAAUUUUACUUGUUCUGCAAGGUUUCUGAAGGUAAGAUUCUCUCUCUGUAAAGAUUGUCCAUACGUACUUAUGUUCAUGUUGCAGCUAGAGUUUCGGUAGAUAGAAUCAUGACAAUAUUAUUUUGCGGGGCAUUGUAGUAGAAUCAGAGAAUUAGGUAUUUGAAAGUUGAAAUUUGAAAUGCAGUACGCAUAACUUUGAAUUGAUUGGACUGGUUAUUUAACUUGGUUGCUUGCUUGGUUAGAAAAUAAAUUACUAUUGUUUCCGGAAUUUUAUCCUCAAGCCGUUCAUUGCAACUUCACUGCUAAGCCUGAAACAACACCUUUCAAGCCUGGGUUUUUUUCCAGCAAGCCCUUCUUCGUGGAACUAAUGUCAGUUCAUCAUCUUGAUAUCUCUUCCCUGACUGAUUGCAGUAUGGUAGAUGGUAAGGGCGUAAGGCCUGGAGUACUAUUUCUCCCGCAUAACUUGAAGGUUGACUUUCCAAAACCCAGAAGUGAGCUUACUGUAAGUAUGUAUUGUUGUUUUCUUUUCCCUUUGAAAUGCUUGCUUAUUUGUCUAAUUUUGUAUUCAUGACUUCUGUUACAUUGUCUUAACCUCAUUGUCCUGUAAAUUGUAUGUUCACAAAAAUAUUACCUGACUUCUCUUAAGCUCACAUUCUUUGUAAGGUUAUAACAUACGACAUGCGUGUCCUAGGGAAGCAAGACUUUAAGCAGCUUUGUAAGUUCCUUUCUGCUCUUUGAAGGUGAAAAAGAAAUGCGCAAGAAGAUUAAAAUUUUCAAGAAAAGUCAUGUAAAGCAGAUUUGAGGGCUGAAGCUGCUAAACAGAAGCAGUUGGAGAAAGAGAGGAAGAAAUUGGAGAACUAUAAGUUCAAUGAGAAUGACAUCGUGGCUGAAAUUGAUCUAAACGUUCUUUCAGGUUCACUUAGAGGUGAUCUCCACUAAUGCUUAAUGAUCUGCUUGUCUGUUACGUCUGAUCUGUACAGCUGUACAAAUCUUCUUUCUGCUGCUGCUAUAUGCGUUGCUGCUGUAUAGUUGCAUUUGACAUAAGUUGACUUAGGUUGACUUUCUAGUGAACCUAAGUCAACUUUGUUACAACUUAAUAAUGAACAAAUGGGUUGGCUCAAAACAUACUUUGGUGAAAGCAACUAUACAUUUUAGUCAAAAUAUGACUGGAAUUUUACACUAUGAAGGAUUGAAGGUAAUCAUACUACAUCUACUGACAUUUAAUUUUAGUUCUUGAUUUCUAAUUUGUAACAUUGUAUUUUUGGUAAUCAAAUUUGAGACUUUUGUUACUUUUUAAUUCUGGUUCCUUUUGUGGAACUUUUUAUUGGGAUCAAGACAAACUUGUAUCAGUUCUCUACUUCUCUGUUUGUGUAAUUUCGCCUAGUUAUCUGUUUUCAUUGUGAACUUACUUGGACUACUGUGUCUUAUAUUGUACUGUGAUUUUGUUGAACUAGAUUUCCAAAAAUUCAUGUGAAAAUCCAUUCGUUUAUGUUUUGCUGCUGGUGCCAAACUGAAAAAAUAUCUUUUGUUUUGAAGUUAUUAAGCAGACUGAUCAUACUAGUAAUUUGGAUAAUUGAAGUUGACUUUGUUUUGUUUUAUCAGGCACUAUAUGUUCGCUUAUGGUGUGACCAGCAGUGGGAAGACUCACACAAUGCAUGUGAGACCAAUCGCAUAUGUCUUUACUGUGUAAUUUGUCUAUCAAUUUGAUUUGUUAGGAUGUAUCUUUAUAUUUACUAGAGAAAAUAUCUUUUAUCAGAGAAAAUAUCUUUUGUUAAUCAGUACUUCAUGAACAUUUAAGUUCAAUUUCCAGUCAAUCAAGUUGUAUUCAGUAAAAAAGAUGGGCUGUUUGCCACUGAUAAUUUUCUUGGUGAAUUAUGGAAAGAGGUUUCUCCUGGUUGUCUUCAUUAGGAUAUGCUUCUAUGAGACACAUUAAAUUUGAUAUAUGUCGCACAAUGGUGAUGAAUCUAUUGUGUCUUUUGGGAGACUGCAUGUGUCCCUUUAUGUUCGAGGAUUUGACUAUACUAUUUUUAAUGAUUAAUUCUAUGGCAGGGAGAUCAGAGAUCCCCUGGAAUCAUACCUUUGGCUGUGAAGGAUACUUUGGUAUCAUCCAAGAGGUUCCGUCCAUUCCCCUUCUAGAAGAAGUUGCAUAGUUAUUUUGGCUGUUCAAGGCUGUUUUCUGACAUACUGACACACAUAUAUCUUCUAGACUCCUAGCCGGGAAUUUCUCCUUCGCGUGUCAUAUAUAGAGAUAUAUAAUGAGGUAUUCAACAAUCUGAGGGAGCAGCCUUUCACCACUGUGGGGAUAAAUGAAGUCCGAGACAAGUUGACAAACUUCAUUAUUAGUGAUUAUCUUUGAUAUUUUCUUGUAAUGAAUCUUAUAUUAUGGAUGCUAGUUUUUCAUAUGAUUAUAAUGUAAUCGACUUUUAGAUUUACAAUUAUAUACUAUUUAAUUUAAUUAUCUAUAUAAUUGGAUACUUUUUAUGUGAUGUAUGGAGGUUAAUCAUUGGC